rnacentral:rRNA from 1 species
UUUAGCUGUAAGAAAUUUUUCUAAAUUAGUAUUAGUUAUGUUCUUUAAAAUUAAAAAAUUUGGCGGUAUUUUAGUCAGUUCAGAGGAACCUGUUCUAUAAUUGAUAGUCCACGAUAAGAAUUACUUGUUUUUUUAGCUUGUAUAUCGUUGUUUGUGAAUUUCUUUUCUGGUGAAAUUUUCGUUUGUUAAAACAAUAAUAAAUUUCAGAUCAAGUUGCAGCUUAUAGAUAAGAAGAAAUGGGUUACAUUAAUAUUAAAUUUGGUUAUUUAGAUUUAAUUUUAAAUAUAAAUUGGAUUUGAUUGUAAUUAUAAGAAAUUUCUUAUAAUGAUCAAUGUUCUGAAAUAUGU